GUCCCAGCUCUAAGAAUGCUCCACCAACAUAUUUCUUCAAGAACUGAAGCUUGGAACUUUGCUGCUGACUUUGUCUGUCAUCAUUAUUAGGAUCCACAGUUCGGUGACUCAGAACCCAGGAUGCUGUGGCUUUGGACAUAAUGACAGGAUGAUGACCUCCUGUGAGGAAUGGAGACAUGAGUUCGCCUUUGAGAAGAAAGAUUCUGGGGUUGGUAACACCACCUUGUCUUCAUGAAACACACAAUGAAGUUCUUGCAUGGACAAAGCUGCCAACCGUCACACUCAUCUAGCAGACGUCAUAACUAUCAAGAAAGAGGUUUUGAUGAUAUGUAGAAUGGGAUUGACCGAUGUCAGUGGUUCAAUGGGGCAGGGUGGUUCAGGGCUUUCAGCCCCAGUGGUAGGUCCCAUUCAGAAAAGAUUGGUCUGACCACAGGUCUAGCCAGUCUGAGUGCUCUGAGAAAUCUAGAUACAUGAGGAUGAUCUGCCAAGGAGCCCACAGAAGCAAUCUGAGGAGUUCAUGUGGAGUCUAUUUCCCCUUUAUUAUUCUUUUUCCAUUUGGGAGGGGCUCUUUUCACCUAUUUUUGCAGGCUGUGCUGGGUGGUUGCUCUUGAGGCUUUAUCUCCCUCUGUGUCCUCCCCAUCAUGGUUCCCUACAUCCAGCCUGGGGGAAUGUGGUCUUAUUGCCAGAGUCCCUGAACUCGUGCUGGGAAGAAGGAGAAGCUGUGCCAACAUGAUCUGAAGACAGUGGGAUUGCACAAUGUAUCUUAGGACACUGCUCUUUGGUUUGCUGAACCUCUGUACUGGGGAUGGCGUGUGAGGCUGAAAGGACCCAGCUUGACUGUUAGAACCGAGGGUGAAUUUGCAGAGCUGAUAGUUACAAAAAUAUUUGAAAACUGAGGAAAAUCUGAUAUGGAAGUCAGUAAGACGCACUGAGUAUGUGACCCCACAGUAUUUUUUGCAAAGUCACUUUUUGAGGUUGAUUUACUGCCUAAGUACAGUUGGUCAAAAUUUGGAAGUUCUGUUCCAUGGGAAAUUUUGACACUAAAAAACUUUUAAAAAUAAAUAAAAUCUUUCUGAAUCACAACAAAGUCAAAAAAUUGCAAUUUCCUGCAAAAUGACAUUAAAAUAAUUAAUUUCAGGUGAAUCAAAAUAUUUCAUUUUGAUUUUGACUUUUUUAUUUUUGUUUUUUAUAUUUCAGAUUUAAUUUUACAUUAAAAUUAAGGUUUAAUCAUUUAAAUUGUACUAUAAAAUGUAUUAGAAAUUGAAUUACCAAUUUUAUAUUAAAAAUGUUUC